rnacentral:tRNA from 1 species
GCAGUUGUGGCCGAGUGGUUAAGGCAGAAAUCCGUUGGGGUCUCCCCGCACAGGUUCGAAUCUGUCGACUGCG